rnacentral:rRNA from 1 species
GUAAGGAAUAUUGGUCAAUGGGGGCAACCCUGAACCAGCCAUGCCGCGUGAAGGAUGAAGGCGUUAUGCGUUGUAAACUUCUUUUGUAUGGGAAGAAUGACAGGGAUUUAUCCUUGGAGAGACGGUACCAUACGAAUAAGCACAGGCUAACUCCGUGCCAGCAGCCGCGGUAAUACGGAGGGUGCACGCGUUAUCCGGAAUCACUGGGUUUAAAGGGUACGUAGGCGGGUACUUAAGUCAGUAGUGAAAGACUGUCGCGCAACGACGGAUGUGCUAUAGAUACUGGUUAACUUGAAUCAGGUUAGAGUUGGCGGAAUGGGUCAUGUAGCGGUGAAAUGCUUAGAUAUAGGAAGGAACACCAGUGGCGAAGGCGACUACCUGGACUGAUACUGACACUGAGGUGCGAAAGCGUGGGGAGCAAACAGGAUUAGAAACCCUUGUAGUCC